rnacentral:rRNA from 1 species
UACGUAGGAGGCGAGCGUUGUCCGGAUUUACUGGGCGUAAAGCGCGCGCAGGCGGCACUUCAAGUAAGGUGUGAAAUCUCCCUGCUCAACGGGGAGGGUGCACUUUAGACUGGGGAGCUAGAGGACGGUAGAGGGGGGUGGAAUUGCUGGUGUAGCGGUGAAAUGCGUAGAGAUCAGCAGGAACACCCGUGGCGAAGGCGGCCCCCUGGGCCGUACCUGACGCUGAGGCGCGAAGGCUAGGGGAACGAACGGG